GGCUUCGUAGCUGAGCUGAUAGAACGCUUGCCACGGUUUGACAUGCUGUUUUUGCUGCUGGUUCGAAUCCAGUCGAAGCCC